GCCUCAGUAGCUUAAUUUUAAAGCAUCGGUCUUGUAAUCCGAAGAUCGAGGGUUAAACUUUCUCCUAGCGCC
rnacentral:tRNA from 1 species